AGAACGAACGCUGGCGGCAUGCCUAACACAUGCAAGUCGAACGAACCCUUCGGGGUUAGUGGCGCACGGGUGCGUAACGCGUGGGAACCUACCAUCAGGUUCGGAAUAACAGUUAGAAAUGACUGCUAAUACCGGAUAAUGUCUUCGGACCAAAGAUUUAUCGCCUUUUGAUGGGCCCGCGUUGGAUUAGCUAGUUGGUAAGGUAAAAGCUUACCAAGGCGACGAUCCAUAGCUGGUCUGAGAGGAUGAUCAGCCACACUGGGACUGAGACACGGCCCAGACUCCUACGGGAGGCAGCAGUGGGGAAUAUUGGACAAUGGGCGAAAGCCUGAUCCAGCAAUGCCGCGUGAGUGAUGAAGGCCUUAGGGUGUAAAGCUCUUUUACUGGGGAUGAUAAUGACAGUACCAGAGAAUAAGCUCGGCUAACUCCGUGCCAGCAGCCGC
rnacentral:rRNA from 1 species